rnacentral:pre_miRNA from 14 species
UCUCUGGAGACAAGGGUGGUCCCCUAUCUCGGAUGAACCCCCAAAUGAAAGACUCCCAGAGCAGAGACAGUCACUCAACUCUCAGGAUGACGUGACCCCCCAAGAACUUACAAGAGACC